CAUGGGUUUGAAGAGGACCAGUCACGUUCUGGGCGUCAGGCGGUGACCGGGGCGGGCGGCAGAGCCAGUUUUACUGCUCUGAAAGUGGGGCUGGGGAGGAGACGGCGACACUCAAAUACCCAGGGCCCUGCACGCUGCCAGCCAGGCGUGGAGGAGGCCGCUCGCCUUUCCCUGCUGCGGGUGGGUUUGGAAGUGGUCUUAAGGCAUCUCUCUGCAUAUUUGAAGAGAAAACCAAACGGUGGGGACCAGGAAGGUGUCUUAAUCCCUGAAAAGCCCACGUUAUUCCCCCCUCCAGUCGCUCUUCUCUGUGCCACAGGCGUGAGCACCUCGUGUCCCAGAGCCCUUUGGCUGCGGCGAAAUGUCGACGAUCCUGAAAUGGUUUGGACGGGAAGAUAAGGAGAGAGAGGAGAAGGGCACUGAAGAAGAGAAGGAAAAGGAGGAGGAGAAAGAAGAGGAAAAGGGAGAUGGGGAAGGUGGCGACAGGAGUAGCAGCAGCUCCCACAGUGGCUCAGAGGAGGAGCACAGCAGCGACAAGGACGAAGAGAAGGAAGCCGCAGAUUAGCCUUGCUGUGCACCCCCAGGAGGUGGGGAUGCUGGUGGCAGCACUUCGGAGGGGGGACUGGCCGCUUUUAGCCAAAUAAAAGAGUUUGCGGGC